rnacentral:rRNA from 1 species
AGUAACACAUCGGAACGUAUCCCGUAGUGGGGGAUAACCCGGCGAAAGCCGGGCUAAUACCGCAUAUGCUCUACGGAGGAAAGUGGGGGACCCUGAGGGCAACUGAGGGGCCUCACGUUAUGGGAGCGGCCGAUGUCCGAUUAGCUAGUUGGUGGGGUAAAGGCCUACCAAGGCGACGAUCGGUAGCUGGUCUGAGAGGAUGAUCAGCCACACUGGGACUGAGACACGGCCCAG